GCACUCACUGGGGCUUGGUCCUCUCCUUGUGGUCCCGACCGGUUGUGAGCAAGAGAAGCAGGACUGGUUUGGGACUGUCCUGUUCGAGUGGAUGCACAUCACCCUGGUUCCCAGUAGGACA